rnacentral:lncRNA from 1 species
GACAGCGGGGUUGGGAUAUUCGGGCUCCUCCACGGCCCCCGGCCCGAAUUUCAGCUCCAGGAACUCGCGGGCAUUGUUGGGCCCCAUGGCAAUGAAACCGGGGCCACGACGGGAUGGCUCGUGGGUUCCCGGAAGCGGAUGAAGCCACACGGAGGCGCCGCAGGGAUUUAUUGGGGCGGCUCCCCGCGCCGCAGCCUCAAGACAGCGGGGUUGGGAUAUUCGGGCUCCUCCACGGCCCCCGGCCCGAAUUUCAGCUCCAGGAACUCGCGGGCAUUGUUGGGCCCCAUGGCAAUGAAACCAGCAAAGGGCAACGGCACGGUGGGGAGCAGGAAACGCUCGGGAAACUCCACGUCCUGCGGGUGGCCCAACCACGUGUCCUUGGUCAUCACCCCGGCGCGGGGAAAAAAGGGCCACAAAUCGACGUGCAGGCGGUUGCUGCGGCUGUAAUGGACGCGGAAAAAAUCCCCUUCCGUCGCUUUCUCCCACACGAACCCCUCCUCAUCCUCCACGGGGCCGUUCCGCGCCGCUCGCAGCCACCGACACUUGACGGCGUCGUCGCGGUAAAUCCCCAAAUCCACGUCGUAAUCCCACGGGAUGAUGUCCUGCGAUCGGAUCGCUCCCAGCAGCGAUCCUCCUUCCAACCAAUACCUCACCCCGGAGUUUUCCAGCGCUUCCACCACGUGUUUCGCCGUCUCCCUCAGCGCCUUCAGGCAGCACGGCGGGGUCCAGCGGCCCUGCAGGAGAUACGGCGGCGUGCGGGCGCGGAUGGUGCCGAAGCAGCGUUCCGUCUCCUUGCCGCAGCCGUACCAACGCCGCCUGCCGUCCUCCAGCACCUCCAGCUUGAUGCCGAAUUCCCCCAUCAACCUCCUGCGCCGCGAAUCCUUCAGGUUCUGCGCCUUCCAGACGUGAUGGGCAGAGCUCAAAGCCGACGGAACGGAGGGGAAACCGCGCCGGAGGACGCGGAGCCGCCAACCUCUCAGCGCCGCCUGGAUGAAGACGGCGAGAUCCAAAGGCCGUUCCGUGGGGAAGGAGAGGUUGAAAAGAUCCUCGGAACGCAGCAGCAAAGCCGCCGUCCCGCCAUCCGCGGCCCCGCAGCCGCCCUGCGCGCCGUAUCGCAACGUCCAGCGGCGCAGAUCCACGUCCAGCCCCACGCAGCGCAUUGGGGUCGGACCCGCGGGGGCCAAAACCAGGCGGGUGUCGGAAUCCAGAGCCGCCGUCAUGGCGUCCAGGAUUUCGGGNNNNNNNNNNNNNNNNNNNNNNNNNNNNNNNNNNNNNNNNNNNNNNNNN